GGGGUUGUGGCUCAGUGGUAGAGUACUCGCCUAGCAUGUGUGAGGCAUUGGGUUGAAUCCUCAGCACCA
rnacentral:tRNA from 1 species